UAGGGGAAUCUUCCACAAUGGACGAAAGUCUGAUGGAGCAACGCCGCGUGAGUGAAGAAGGGUUUCGGCUCGUAAAACUCUGUUGUUAAAGAAGAACAUAUCUGAGAGUAACUGUUCGGGUAUUGACGGUAUUUAACCAGAAAGCCACGGCUAACUACGUGCCAG
rnacentral:rRNA from 1 species